GGGCCUGUAGCUCAGUUGAUAGAGCAUCGCAUUCGCAUUGCGGGGGUCGUGGGUUUAAGUCCCAUCAGGUCCACCA
rnacentral:tRNA from 1 species